rnacentral:rRNA from 1 species
CCCUUAGAUGUCCGGGGCCGCACGCGCGCUACACUGAAGGAAUCAGCGUGGCUUUCUCCCUGACCCGAGAGGGUUGGGAAACCCGUUGAAUCUCCUUCGUGAUAGGGAUUGGGGCUUGAAAUUCUUCCCCAUGAACGAGGAAUUCCCAGUAAGCGCGAGUCAUAAGCUCGCGUUGAUUACGUCCCUGCCCUUUGUACACACCGCCCGUCGCUACUACCGAUUGAACGGUUUAGUGAGGGCCUCGGAUUGGUCUCGGCCCGCCCUUCACCGGGCGGCGCCGUUGGUCGAGAAGACGCUCGAACUUGAUCGUUUAGAGGAAGUAAAAGUCGUAACA